UACGAAGGGUGCAAGCGUUACUCGGAAUUACUGGGCGUAAAGGGUGCGUAGGUGGUUCUUUAAGUCUGCUGUGAAAUCCCCGGGCUCAACCUGGGAAUGGCAGUGGAUACUGGAGAGCUAGAGUGCGGUAGAGGGUAGUGGAAUUCCCGGUGUAGCAGUGAAAUGCGUAGAGAUCGGGAGGAACACCAGUGGCGAAGGCGGCUACCUGGACCAGCACUGACACUGAAGCACGAAAGCGUGGGGAGCAAACAGG
rnacentral:rRNA from 1 species